UUAUUCCAAAUUCAUUUUUAAAUGCAGCUAUAUAGUGAAGUGGAAAUAAGCAGCUUUUCCUGUUUUGUUUGUUCUGCCAUAGCUUUGUGCUGAGGUUCAACUGCGCUUCGGGUGCACCGUGGAUGAAGCGGAACAACGCCUAAAUAUGGCGGCACAAAUUUUCUCCGACAAACAAGGAAGGGACACCACAUUUGCAUAACUCUCGAGUCACUUGCAAGGUUCGUCAGAGCACUCACUGAUCACUGAGGCUGUGCUACCGACCCAAGUAGAAAUUGCUGCACCACAUGUAUAGGCAUCCAAGGACCAAGUAUUGGUGUAUGGAGGCAGCAAAGAAGAUAUAAUUCACUUGAAGGAACUGAAUAUUGAGCGUACCGUCAUCAUAUGCCUUCUUGUUUACUACC
rnacentral:lncRNA from 1 species